rnacentral:lncRNA from 1 species
AUCUUCGAGAUCCACUGAAGUCCUCCGAAAAAGAACUCUCUUGUGAACUUGGGAACAGGCCCUCGGCCCUGAGUUCGUCUAAUGCUAACUUCAAGCACUAAACUGAGGAGCACGUCUACGCUUUCAGCAACCCGAACCCUGAACCAAGAUGCAUGUCGCUGGAAGCUGAUCACAUAAGCAUGUUUCGUCCCGAUGCAGCCACCAAUGUAAGUAUGAGGAACACAUAUGAGGAUGUCAUAUUUAAAAUAGGACUUUCUUUAUUUAGAAAGAAAAUAAUGGAGCUUGAAUUAUCUGAGUUGCUGCUGUAUCUAUGUCCCUGUAAUCUUAACCAGAUCAUGUCCUCUGUGUCUAUUAAUUAAUAGCCAUAGAGGACAGACACUGCAAAUUGCCCUGAUUGUGAAAAUCUCUAACAUAUUCAGUGCUGUGACUCUAAAUUCUGUUAAUUACAGUUCUGUCAGACGGGUGACAGAAAAGGGAACGAACUCUAAAUUUUUGUAAAAAGUUAAAAGAAAAGAAAUGCCAUUCUGUUUUUCAUGUAGCUGGUGUUUAGCCCGAUCCUAGCUUAUGUAAACUGUCCAGCUCUAUUGCUGGUGUUUGACUGAUUAAUACCAGCUGAAGAUAUGACCCAAUGUUAAAUGAACAGAUGAUUCAUGCAGUUUUUAUAUUAAACAUAAAAAUGAUGUUCUCUAACAUAGUUUAAUAGGUACUUAUUGAGUGCCAAGUUUCCACUGCUGCCUUAUAAGUAUACUGACUACUAAUAAUUAACAGAUCUUCUUGGAAAGCAGUAAUUUUCAUAUUUUUUUCUCUCCAAGAUUUUUAACUGUUAGCUUAACUAGUUAAGUUAACUGUUGUUGUACAUGGAUCUAGAGUCUCAAGCCUUUUCUCUUUUUCCUGAGCAUGGCAAAAAAAUGAUCAUAGGAGACGAGUUUCCAUCACAGGGGAAGCCAAGGCCCCUAGGGACUUUCCCAAGACUGACUGCAGCGGGGCCUUUCUCAGGUAACAUGCCAUCUCAGAGUGCAUCGGGAUUUAGAAACGCAGGAGGGCUUUCUCACAGCAUCGAGCUCUCCAAGCUAGCACUAACUUAAGUGGAAGCAGCCUGGCUAAGGGAUACUAUAUAAAUGCAGAGAAUGAAAGCUUCAAAUUGCUAAUUGCACGACAUUGAAUGUGAAGACGAAGCUGUCCAGACCAGAGCCGGACCCUCUUAUAAACAGGUUAGGUACCUCGGCCUCGCGCUCACUAGCCCUUCAGCUCCCAAAGCGUAGCAUAGACUUCCUCCUCCUCACCUGGAGUACUCCCCGACAGCGUGAGGACAGAAGGCAUAUACGUGCUCUUUAUUAUGAAUAAAAGCAGCAAAAAAGUGGCCCA